ACUACUAUUCUAUUGGGAAUAGAAUCUACGGACGAAACUGUUCAUCUGACCAGCUAAUCCCACAACCAACGCCCCUCUCCCGGUGGCCACUGAGAUGUUGAGACCCCGCGUUCAAUCACAUUUUAAUUGAUAAUCGAACAGCGCUUGAAACAAGAUCUGUUGUCGAUAACUAACCAACAAAGCCCGAGUUAAAGCCAUGGAGGUGCUUGGCACUUGGAAGUGGCCAGAAGUGGGGGAAUGGGGUUUGUCUUGAGAAUGAUAGCCCCGAGGGAGGGACUUGGAUGAAGGUUUGAAACCAGUCAAGCAACGG
rnacentral:sRNA from 1 species